rnacentral:rRNA from 1 species
CCUACGGGUGGCAGCAGUGGGGAAUAUUGGACAAUGGGCGAAAGCCUGAUCCAGCCAUGCCGCGUGUGUGAAGAAGGCCUUCGGGUUGUAAAGCACUUUCAGUGGGGAAGAAAGCCUUGGGGCUAAUACCCUCGAGGAAGGACAUCACCCACAGAAGAAGCACCGGCUAACUCCGUGCCAGCAGCCGCGGUAAUACGGAGGGUGCGAGCGUUAAUCGGAAUUACUGUGCGUAAAGCGCGCGUAGGCGGUCUGAUAAGCCGGUUGUGAAAGCCCCGGGCUCAACCUGGGAACGGCAUCCGGAACUGUCAGGCUAGAGUGCAGGAGAGGAAGGUAGAAUUCCCGGUGUAGCGGUGAAAUGCGUAGAGAUCGGGAGGAAUACCAGUGGCGAAGGCGGCCUUCUGGACUGACACUGACGCUGAGGUGCGAAAGCGUGGGUAGCAAACAGGAUUAGAUACCCUUGUAGUC